rnacentral:rRNA from 1 species
UACAGGGGGCUCGAGCGUUAGUCGGAAUCACUGGGCUUAAAGGGUGCGUAGGCGGCCCGCCAAGUGCUUUGUGAAAUCCCCGGGCUCAACCCGGGAACAGCAGGGCAAACUGGCGGGCUUGAAGCAGGUAGGGGCUGGAAGAACAGUUGGUGGAGCGGUGAAAUGCGUAGAUAUCAACUGGAAUGCCGAUGGGGAAGCCGUCCAGCUGGGCCUGUCUUGACGCUGAGGCACGAAAGCGUGGGGAGCAAACAGG